UGCACACAUGACUGUAAGUCACUUUGAAUAAAAGUGACUGCUAAAUGGUGUUAG
rfam:Salmo salar isolate Sally breed double haploid chromosome ssa11, whole genome shotgun sequence.